rnacentral:rRNA from 1 species
GACAGAGGGGGCAAGCGUUGUCCGGAAUCAUUGGGCGUAAAGCGCGUGUAGGCGGUUCGGUAAGUCUGCUGUGAAAGUCCAGGGCUCAACCCUGGGAUGCCGGUGGAUACUGUCGGGGCUAGAGUGCGGAAGAGGCGAGUGGAAUUCCCGGUGUAGCGGUGAAAUGCGCAGAUAUCGGGAGGAACACCCGUGGCGAAGGCGGUUCUCUGGGACGGUACUGACGCUGAGACGCGAAAGCGUGGGGAGCGAACAGG